CGGGGUGAGUAAUGUAUGGGGAUCUGCCUGAUGGCGGGGGAUAACUACUGGAAACGGUAGCUAAUACCGCAUAAUGUCUACGGACCAAAGCGGGGGACCUUCGGGCCUCUUGCCAUCGGAUGUGCCCAGAUGGGAUUAGCUAGUAGGUGGGGUAACGGCUCACCUAGGCGACGAUCCCUAGCUGGUCUGAGAGGAUGACCAGCCACACUGGAACUGAGACACGGUCCAG
rnacentral:rRNA from 1 species